rnacentral:rRNA from 1 species
UGCAUAUCAAAUAAGCGGAGGAAAAGAAACCAACAGGGAUUGCCUUAGUAGCGGCGAGUGAAGCGGCAAAAGCUCAAAUUUGAAAUCUGGCGCCUUCGGUGUCCGAGUUGUAAUUUGAAGAUUGUAACCUUGGGGUUGGCUCUUGUCUAUGUUUCUUGGAACAGGACGUCACAGAGGGUGAGAAUCCCGUGCGAUGAGAUGCCCAAUCCUAUGUAAGGUGCUUUCGAAGAGUCGAGUUGUUUGGGAAUGCAGCUCUAAGUGGGUGGUAAAUUCCAUCUAAAGCUAAAUAUUGGCGAGAGACCGAUAGCGAACAAGUACAGUGAUGGAAAGAUGAAAAGAACUUUGAAAAGAGAGUGAAAAAGUACGUGAAAUUGUUGAAAGGGAAGGGUUUGAGAUCAGACUCGAUAUUUUGUGAGCCUUGCCUUCGUGGCGGGGUGACCCGCAGCUUAUCGGGCCAGCAUCGGUUUGGGCGGUAGGAUAAUGGCGUAGGAAUGUGACUUUACUUCGGUGAAGUGUUAUAGCCUGCGUUGAUGCUGCCUGCCUAGACCGAGGACUGCGAUUUUAUCAAGGAUGCUGGCAUAAUGAUCCCAAACCGCCCGUCUU